GUGGAAAACUGAACUUCCGGUUCCUGACUUUUAACACUCAUUUACAGCCUGGGAGGCAAUUUGACUAUAAAAAGGUUAUGCCAAAGUCAUGAGAAGCUAAACAAAAGCGCCUUGAGUGGUAGAUAUUUUCCUAUCACAUGCUUUGACGAAAUAAUAGGAUUGAAACUGCAACUGUGUUUUGACUGUGUUAGCAUAACACUGCUAAUGCACGGGCUGUGACGUCAUUCGUUGUCAUCGAAGGAGAAUGUUUUACCCAGAGAAGCCCAUCUUAUUGACUUCUUUGUUAACUCCUUCAUAGAGUGCAGCCAAACCAAACUCACCUCCAGGGAAAACUGCAUCUCUUGUUCAAACAAGAUAACAGGCUCCGGGGAGCUCGGAUUUGGCUCGUCCGUCUCACCUGGGUGUGCCGGCCGUAAGACAGGUAAGAAAAGUGGAAAGACAGGAGCCGUGUUUACCCUUUCACACUCUUUUAUUCACGCUCCGGACCUUUGCAGCUAGGGCAGCAGGCCUCAUUUUAAAAUUGUUAAACAAAAAGUAACAAAUCGUUAAACUGUGUCUUUUUGGCGGGUUAUCCCGAUUUUGUCGGCGUGUGCACGUGCGUGGCGGGAAGAGAAGGUCUAGGGAGGCGAGGGGGAGUGGCACA